UCCCUGGAGGACAAGUGGUUAGGCCACGGCGCUCUCAGUGCUGCUGCCUGGGUUUGAUUCCCAGCCAAGAAA
rnacentral:tRNA from 1 species